rnacentral:rRNA from 1 species
GCAGCCGCGGUAAUUCCAGCUCCAAUAGCGUAUAUUAAAGUUGUUGCAGUUAAAAAGCUCGUAGUUGAAUUUCGGGGUCAGUAGAUUGGUCGUGCCACUGGUAUGUACUGGUCUUACUGGCUCCUCCUUCCUGAUGAACCGUAAUGCCAUUGAUUUGGUGUUGCGGGGAGACUGGACUGUUACUUUGAAAAAAUUAGAGUGUUUAAAGCAGGCUAACGCUUGAAUACAUUAGCAUGGAAUAAUGAAAUAGGACGUUCGAUCUUAUUUUGUUGGUUUCUAGGAUUGACGUAAUGAUUAAUAGGGAUAGUUGGGGGCAUUAGUAUUCAAUUGUCAGAGGUGAAAUUCUUGGAUUUAU